UGGGGAAUCUUGCACAAUGGGGGAAACCCUGAUGCAGCGACGCCGCGUGAGCGAUGAAGCCCUUCGGGGUGUAAAGCUCUUUCGGCAGGGAAGAUGAUGACGGUACCUGCAGAAGCAGCUGCGGCUAACUACGUGCCAGCAGCCGCGGUAAUACGUAGGCAGCAAGCGUUGUUCGGAGUUACUGGGCGUAAAGGGUGUGUAGGCGGUUCUUUAAGUUUGGUGUGAAAUCUCCCGGCUCAACUGGGAGGGUGCGCCGAAUACUGAGGGACUCGAGUGCGGGAGAGGAUAGUGGAAUUCCUGGUGUAGCGGUGAAAUGCGUAGAUAUCAGGAGGAACACCGGUGGUGUAAACGGCUUUCUGGACCGUAACUGACGCUGAGACACGAAAGCGUGGGUAGCAAACA
rnacentral:rRNA from 1 species